UUUAAAAGAAAGAGGCAGCAAGGAUUCUCCCUCUUGCAACAGCUCUUCAGCCGCAGGAGUUUCUGAGCCUGUCCCAAGAAAGGAUUCCUGAUGGGACAUUUCCUGUUCGCAUUGCUGUCUUUCUCAUGAGAAUCCACUCUCAGACCCCAUGCCUCCUUGUGGACUCUGACAGAUGGUGGCAUCCAACGGGACCCUGACUGAGCAGAGUAAGGAAGAGUCAGUGACAUGAGACAAUACUGGUGCUGCUGGAGUGUGGGGCAUAAUCCACAGCCAACACUCAUGUUACAAGAACUGCAGCAAGAAUAAAAAAAUACCUAUGUGAUUGCUUGUGGCCACUCCAAAUGAAAACAAUGCAACAGAUCUCAGGAAUGAAAAGAUGCUUCAAGAGAUUUGUUCCAAUUUGCUUAAUGCAUGAUAAAUUAUUCCUAUGGGGUCCUGUUCCUGUGAAAAGAUUUAUUGGGAAGUGUUAAGCAUAUCUGAUGCUUAUCAAGAAUGCUUAGGAAUAAUCAAAUAUAUUUGAUACUCUGUAUAAUUGCCCUUGGAAUAGAUGUUCUGCCAGUGGCACUUUUGGUCUAAAUUCCUACUCCCAUCUGUCUUGAGGGUUUGAGAAAGCAAUAUUUGCUAAGUAAAUAUGCUAAGGAUGCUGUUCAGCUGUGAAGUGGCAUGCUGCUGUGUCAUGGCACUCUGCAUCUCUUACUGAGAAACUGGACCCUUCCUUUGAUGUAAAUUACAUUACAUUUAAUGUAAUUCAUGGAUUCUGGGCCUAGAAACCUCUGUCAUUAACUUGGUACCUCUUGUAGAUGCCAGAAGAAACCUACCCAGACAACACCUGACCUAUGGAAAACAUUGAAAAUUAUUUUUUUUAACUGUUGGGUGGCCUUUGGGAAAGGGAAUAAAAAACAAACAAAACAAAAACAACCCAAACUUAUUAAACUUAUUAACCAGGUAUCUAACUCCAAGUUUCAGGAGUUCAAUAGACACCAAUAUGUGGGGAAUAUAACUGAGGCAUAAAACCACUACAGAAAGCAUGUGAGGCAGAGAUAACAGAGAAAUUUGAUAGGUCUGAUAUAAAAUCUAAGAUGAAUUUCCCUAUUCAACAGGACUCUGAUAGUUCUAUAGAAAUAAUCUAAAAGCCACUGAGAGAAGGCAUUACUUUUUCCCCUAAAACAAAAUUUCCACUUUUUGAAAGUACUUCUAUUCCUUGUAAGUUGGCAGAAACUUUAGGAAGAAUUGAUAAGAGAAUGGCAGUGCUGUCCUUUGGGCUGAGGAGUCUGGUACUCUUGUCCAGCCAUGGAGAUGUCUGCCCGGCUGAGUGCAGCCACUGAACGCUGUGAGUGCCACAUGAAUAAUAAAUGCAAAGCCAGAGUCCUGUCCUGACAGGGAGCACAGUCAAUGUUGCUCUGGUAAAAGCCUGAGACACAACCUUGGAAUAUUUAUUGUGCAAUUUAAUGUAUGUUUGAAUUCCUGCUUCUGUUAAAUUGAUACUCUGUUCUUCCAUAUUUUAUCAAGGGGUUUAUGAAUUACUACUCUUAGUUUAUACCAUUAUUGUAUAAUUGAUGCAGAUGGUGGAAAAUUGUGAGAGGGUGGAUUUUUGAAAAUAACAUCACGUGCUCAAGUUUCCAGUUUUGUCUCUAGUGACACUGUCCAGAAAGCUGUGGCCUUCACAGGAGCAAAUUACAAAUUGCUCUCUAUUACAUCUGAAAGAACAAUCCCAGAAGAGCUAAAAUGGAGAAAGCUUUCUCAGUAAUUCACUUCCAGAAUAACUCUCCUACCACUGUUGUUCAGGAAUAUCUAGCUGUACACCCUAUCUGUGAUAGCACCCACUGGAGACAAACCUGCAUUGCCUGACACCAAAGGGAAUAUCAUACAUUUCCUUAUCAUAUCUCUGAAUUGCUCAUCAAGAUCAUCUCAAAAGGGAAGAGAAAUUGCUAGGGGUUGUGAGAGGUGACAGCAAGCAUUACUGAAGGCAAGUCCAAGGGAUUAUGUGCCUCACUGAAAAAAUUCACACUUAUAGUCUUGUAUUUGAGUAUUUUCAGUACCAGAUCCUACUCAGGAAGGGUGGUUUAAUUUGUGAUUUGUUUUUUUCUUUUUUAUUUUCCUUUUCCUUUUGACUAAUUGUUACGUUUUACCUGAAAUCAUUGUUUAUAUCAUUCAGUAGUUUAUCACCAAGAACACCUGUGUGUGGGAACUGGAGGUGAUAAGGAAAUUUUCAAUAUAUCACUGUUUUCUAUUAGCAAGGUGUGAGCAUGUAUAGAAGUUGCUAUCUGUCUCCUAUUUAAGUAAGAUAAGAGAAUUAUGAAGUGGGGUGUGUCCUACCCAUGGUUAAUUUGUAAAAUCCCACCUGAAGAGAUAAACACUAGGAAGCUGUAAAUUAAUGCAAAAACAAUGUCUCAAAAAUGUUCACGAAGGGAUUUUAUCAUUCAGUUUUGUUCCAGAGCAAAUCUGUAUUAUUUUCUUAUUUCUAUAAAACUUGUCAACAGACAUGCCACAAAGAGAUAUUCACUUAUAUCACACUUGGGAAUUGUGUUUGGGCAGCUUCUGGGUGUUAUACUGGAUUAGUACUUGCAAGGAUGUAUGGUUGAAUACAAAUAUAGGGGGAAUCCUUAAUAUAAGAGUUAAUCCUUAAUAUAGAAUUGCUUGAGGCAAACAAAUUUUGAGGGGUGGUGCUGAGCAAAUAUGAGGCUUCAUCUCUGUAACUUCACUGGAAGUAGAGAGGAAAGAGGAUUUGUCCUUUGAAAAUACUUAUUUGAAAACAUCCUGAGCUGAGAAUGACACAAAGAAUGAAGGAUAGACUUUGUGGACAGCACUGGCCUGGGAAUCAGGAUACCUGUCAUGUGUUUGCAGAUCUUUUCCUUUCCCUCACAGAUGAGAAGUGCCUAAAUAGUUCUGGAUUCAGAAGCCUCAAUUCUUUUGUGGGUCUGGUAAUUUCCUUCUUGUUUUUGAGUUCCCUGAUAGAAUACCAAAUGCCACUAAGCUUCUCACUUCCUUUAGACUGAAAGCUUCUAAAUUGCUCUUGCCCAGUGCAUAUUCCCGUGCCAGUGUAAGAUUGAUCUGCCUCACUCAGACAGAGGUAGUUGAGUGCCUCUAGUCAAUCCUUCACACACAGAGCUGAAAAGCACAGAAACACUGCUGUCUAACCUGAGGCAUUCUCCUACCUCCAUGUUUAGUAUGCAAAUAUGGACUCUGACUUUUCGAUCUGUUGAGUGCCUAAAGCAUCUUACCUCUCUUUGAAGAGUUGAUUUUGCUUAUCUUACUUUUUCAAAACUUCUCAAAUAUCUGCUUUUCUCCAGCACACGAGACAAGAAUUCUCAAUGGCAUGAUUCAGACCUCCUAGAGUGCUAGCCCAUCACUAGCUGGGCUUGGAAAACCUUGCCAGUCUUGCUCUGCAUUGGUCAAGAUUUAUCACUGUACCUACACAGAAGCUAGACAGAAGUCAUGUUUCCUUUUUGUCUAGCCCAGAGACCUUGACUCUGCUUCACUGAUCAGCUCUAUGUUGAAAAAGCCAUCCUGCUGCUUUUUAAGGUUCUUCCCACCGCCCCCUUUGUUUCCAGUGUGACUCCCUGUCUUCUGGUACCAGGACUGAUGAGUCUCCCUGGGUGAGCUUAGCUCUCCCUGCCCAUGCCAGGCAGGCUCCAUUGCUAGCAGCUGCUUUGCUACAUGAAGGGACUUUAGGAUUGCUGCCAUUGAGCUGAAAAGACUGGACUUGGCAAGCUCCUUGGCUUAAUGAGGUCUGCAAAGUGUCUUUGAAUCCAAGACUCCCAUGAUGGUAAUUGUUAGCACUUUUCAACACAGCAGUCUUUAUAUGGAGUAAAAUAUUCAAAAGUGCUUAAGUGAAGGUCAAUAAGACCUAGCUAUUAAAAUAAAUAAAUAAAUAAACCCCAGACCCAUAAUUAACAGAUGUUUGUGGUCCUGCAAUAAGUGAAAAUAUUUUAACAGCCCUUUGGUAGAAACCAAAUGCUGAAGUAACCCUUUGGUUAAAAAGCAGCAUAACUGUGUAGCCUGGUGGGAAGGGCUCCCUCACUGAGAAUAAAGGAGCCUCUGGGUUUGGGGAACAGCUUACUACACAGACAGACCAAAACAGAGCCAAAAGGAGGGUGCUUGGAAGAGCUUCCACCUGCAGAGCUGUACCUUGGGGGAGCAUCUUGUCUGCAGCAGGACAACCUGCUGCUUUUGAGGCAGCUGGUUCAGGCAGUGACACCUCACCUCAUUUCCCUGGGAGAGGCUUCCAUGUCUGGGGCACGACAAAAUGGGCAGCACAGAGAAAAGCUGCACAGCAGACUGGCUGCAGGGAAAGGCACAGCCUGGUGGUCCCCCUUAAGCCGAGGGAUGAUAAGUGGCAUCUCCAGGGAAUGGAGAUGGCAGCUUCAAAGACUGCAGGAAACCAAAGAAUUUGUCUCUUGCAUAUUGGUUACUGAAUCAGAGUGGGGAGAACACUGUUUCUUCCUUUAUGAAAUUUAGCCUUUUAAUUUCCUUUGCUUUUACUAUGUGCGUCCAAAAAACAAAGUGUUUCAUUUUGGGGGUCAGAAGGAGUUUUUCAGUGCACAUGAGGCUCUCCUCUUUACAUUUCAUGGAAAAAAAUUAAGAACAGGGGGAGAAAGGGAAGUGGCAUCUGUUUAAUGCAAGCAUCCAAAAUAUUUUGAAUUUAGCAGUCACAGUGAAAAUAAAUGCAAUUAUUCACACAGCUCUACUCACUUUGCACACAGAGGCAGUGAGAUGAUUCACAGCUAAAGUUCCUUUUUUUUUUUUUUAAACAUUCAUUUACACAGUGAAGUAGCAAUAUUGAGCAUAGGAAUGUGUGUUUUGGAUUCAGGACCUGUGUUUGUGAGCAUAUGUGAUGGAAAUCGAGUAAAAAUCCCACUUAGAUUUGAGUUCCUCCUCCUGGUAAAGCCUGCAGCUUGUGCAGUCUAUCUGCUUGUUGCUUGCUUUAGUAGUAAUAACCUGGUGUAGGCUGGAAUAUAAGCUUUUCACAAUAAACCUCAGCUCUACUAAUCUGGCUAGCUUUGACCCAAGUAUUAGACUGCUUUCUCCUGCAGACUGUGGAGGUAUGGUGCAAAAUGAAAGAAUCAUUUGCCUUUAGGUUGAGCAAAUGAGACCAAAUUUAUGGCAACAAAAACUUUGGAGGCUAACUUGCUGUCUCAUUUAUCCUUCUAAAUGUAAAUGAAAAUCACAUGUAAAAUUUUAUUAAUAAAACAGCUGUCACUUUUGGUUAUUUUAAGCCUGAACUCUGCCAAAUGCAAAUAAAAUAAAUAAUUUUAGAGAGAAAACUGGGUAAGCCAGCCCAAAA